AGAAAAAGAAGAAACAAAAAGCAGCUAGCAGUAAAAAGGAGAAAGAAGAACCUGAGAUAAACAGGGAGGCAAAGGCAGAAGCCAGCGGAUGUCUGACUAAAGAUGUAUCCCACCAGGAUGAGACCACUCAGCAAUCAGAGGACCAGCUGCGGAAAGAAGUGGACUGGUGUGUGGAACAGCUGGAGCUUGGCCUGAAGACCCAAAAGCCCACUCCUAAACAAGCGGAGGAGGCUCUGCGUGCCAUCAGGAC